rnacentral:rRNA from 1 species
AUACGUAGGUGACAAGCGUUAUCCGGAUUUACUGGGCGUAAAGGGCGUGUAGGCGGUCUUGCAAGUCAGAAGUGAAAUUCCUGAGCUCAACUCGGGCGCUGCUUCUGAAACUGCAGGACUUGAGUGCUGGAGGGGAUAGCGGAAUUCCUAGUGGAGCGGUAAAAUGCGCAGAUAUUAGGAAGAACACCGGUGGCGAAGGCGGCUAGCUGGACAGUAACUGGCGCUGAGGCGCGAAAGCGUGGGGAGCAAACUGAAGUAGAUUCCCUGGGAGUCCACGCCGUAAACGAUGAAUACUAGGGGUAGGGGGUAUCGACUCCCUCUGUGCCGCAGUUAACACAAUAAGUAUUCCGCCUGGGGAGUACGGCCGCAAGGUUGAAACUCAAAUGAAUUGACGGGG